rnacentral:rRNA from 1 species
AAGCGGUACGAGAGUUGGGUUCAGAACGUCGUGAGACAGUUCGGUCCCUAUCUGUUGUGGGCGGAGGAGAGUUGAGAGGGGCUUUCACUAGUACGAGAGGACUGUGAAGGACGGACCUCUAGUGUGCCGGUUGUCGUGCCAACGGCAGCGCCGGGUAGCUAUGUCCGGUAGCGAUAAUCGCUGAAAGCAUCUAAGCGAGAAGCGUGCCUCAAGAUAAGCUCUCCCGUAGCAGUAUGCUACCUAAAGACCACUCGUAGACCACGAGUUUGAUAGGCUGGGUGUGGAAGGCGUGUGAGCGCUGUAGCUAACCAGUACUAAUCGGUCGUGCGGUUUAACAUC